UACAGAGGGGGCAAGCGUUGUUCGGAAUUACUGGGCGUAAAGGGCGCGUAGGCGGCCAACUAAGUCAGGGGUGAAAUCCUGGAGCUCAACUCCAGAACUGCCUUUGAUACUGGGGAUCUCGAGUCCGGAAGAGGUGAGUGGAACUCCGAGUGUAGAGGUGAAAUUCGUAGAUAUUCGGAAGAACACCAGUGGCGAAGGCGGCUCACUGGUCCGGUACUGACGCUGAGGUGCGAAAGCGUGGGGAGCAAACAGG
rnacentral:rRNA from 1 species